AGAGUUUGAUCAUGGCUCAGAACGAACGCUGGCGGCGUGCCUAACACAUGCAAGUUGAACGGAGCCCGAAGGAGUAGCAAUACUUUUUCAGGCUUAGUGGCGGACGGGUGAGUAACACGUAGGUAACCUACCCUUAGGCGGGGGACAACUCAGGGAAACUUGAGCUAAUACCGCAUAAAUCCACCGGCUGGGAUGCUGGUGGGGAAAGUGGCGACACACCUAAGGAUGGGCCUGCGGCCUAUCAGGUAGUUGGUGGGGUAAGAGCCCACCAAGCCGAAGACGGGUAGCCGGGCUGAGAGGUUGAACGGCCACACUGGAACUGAGACACGGUCCAGACUCCUACGGGAGGCAGCAGUGGGGAAUCUUGCGCAAUGGGGGAAACCCUGACGCAGCGACGCCGCGUGGAGGAUGAAGGUCUUUGGGUUGUAAACUCCUUUUCUUGGGGAAAAUGAUGAUGGUACUCAAGGAAUAAGCCACGGCUAACUCUGUGCCAGCAGCCGCGGUAAGACAGAGGUGGCGAGCGUUGUUCGGAAUUACUGGGCUUAAAGGGCGAGUAGGCGGUAGGGCAAGUCUGAGGUGGAAUCCUAUGGCUUAACCAUAGAACUGCCUUAGAAACUGCUUUACUUGAGUCAGUGAGGGGAGGGCGGAAUUCCUGGUGUAGCGGUGAAAUGCGUAGAUAUCAGGAGGAAGGCCUGUGGCGAAAGCGGCCCUCUGGCACUGUACUGACGCUGAGGCGCGAAAGCGUGGGGAGCAAACAGGAUUAGAUACCCUGGUAGUCCACGCCCUAAACGGUGGGCAUUAGGUGUAGGGCUCGUAAGGGUUCUGUGCCGAAAGGGAAACCAUUAAAUGCCCCGCCUGGGGAGUACGGCCGCAAGGUUGAAACUCAAAGGAAUUGACGGGGGCCCGCACAAGCGGUGGAGCAUGUGGUUUAAUUCGACGCUACGCGAAGAA
rnacentral:rRNA from 1 species